rnacentral:tRNA from 1 species
UAGCCUGUUGCGCUGCGAUGGACGGGUGAGCAUGCGCUUGAUAAGCGCAGGGUCACUGGUUCGAGCCCAGUCAGGCCCA